rnacentral:tRNA from 1 species
UUAAUUGAAGCCAAAAAGAGGCAUAUCACUGUUAAUGAUAAUAUUGGAGAAUAAUAACCCCAAUUAAA